GGUAGAGGUCAGAAAUACACGCCAAACGGGAGGCGGAAGGGGGACGGUUACAACACAGGCCAGGAGAAAUACUCUAGCACAGCAUUUCUUUCUCCAAGUCCUUGUUUUGGAUGUAUUUAGGAUUAAACAUCUUGUUCAACCUGGAAGAAAAGAAGAAGCAGGAGCGCUUCAGGUAUCCCACAACAACCCCAGGUAAUCUAUUCCGAGGAAUUCACUCCCCUCAUCUUUCCAGUCCCUGUUGUGCUCUAGUCGUGUCAUUUGGAAAGGUAGGGAGCCUGUGUUUGGUUCUGGGAAAAACAACCCAACCAUCUUGUUAUGACGAGAGGUUUAUCUCAAUGAGCAUACCAACGGUGCCAUCUCACAGGACUGCGCUAAUAUGGCACUGGAACAACGGACACAAAUACAGCCCUACCCUACUUCACCAAGCUGUAACAUAAACCAUACUUCACAAAACCACGCUCCCACUGCCUCUCUGGUUGUCAGAAUGUGAAACCUGGCAAAUAAUCUCACCCUUGUCAAUGGGCCAGGCACGCCCAGGAUAACACUGAAAAAAGGAGAGAUGAAGAGGCGGAGGAAAGGAAAGGUUCAGCCAGGGUGAAGAAUGGCAUGAAUGCCACAGACGGCCAGGAGGCAGGACUGGAGCAGAGGAGGAAUGAACCAAUAAGCCAGGAGAGGGCAAAUCAGGACAAAGGGCCGAGAUGCAACACGGCAGAGACGAGAGAGGAGAGAAUAGAGAUACAACAGCAUCACACAGAACUACAUGCAGGGCUGUAAAGGUAGGCUGCAGGUCAUAUAUGAGACACAUGGUCUUUGAUUUAUUAGGAUCCCCCUCCCCCAUUAGCCGACGCCAAUGUACUCUUACAAGGCCUAGCUGUGCCAAGAAUUCGUAUCUGCUGAGUGGUGUGGGAUUGCAGCACCAGAUAUUCAAUCUGGAGUUACUUUAGAAUGGCCAACACCUUCCUCACACGCACACACACACGUAUGCAUAGACACACAUACACACAAACGUAUGCAUAGACACACCUACACGCACCCACCUGGCUCCUUAUCAAUUCAAUGUGGAGUGAAUCCCUCAGAAGUACACCCUUUACAGCUGAAUGCAUUCAGUUGACAAGGUAUCCGCCACUAACUAGGUAUCCCCCAUUCCCUUUCCUUUCCCUCCUACCCUCAAUCAUUACUGACGCACACUUCACCCCCUGCACUGCUCUUAAACCCUCCACACUUCAACCCCUGCACUGCUCUUAAACCCUCCACAUUUCAACCCCUGCACUGCUCUUAAACCCUCCACACUUCAACCCCUGCACUGCUCUUAGACCCUCCACACUUCAACCCCUGCACUGCUCUUAGACCCUCCACACUACACCCCCUGCACUGCUCUUAAACCCUCCACACUUCAUCCCCUGCACUGCUCUUAAACCUUCCUCACUUCAACCCCUGCACUGCUCUUAGACCCUCCACACUUCAACCCCUGCACUGCUCUAAGACCCUCCACACUUCACCCCCUGCACUGCUCUUAGACCCUCCACACUUCACCCCCUGCACUGCUGUUAGACCCUCCACACUUCACCCCUGCACUGCUCUUAGACCCUCCACAUUUCACCCCCUGCACUGCUGUUAGACCCUCCACACUUCAACCCCUGCACUGCUCUUAGACCCUCCACACUUCACCCCCUUCACUGCUCUUAGACCCUCCACACUUCACCCCCUGCACUGCUCUUAGACCCUCCACACUUCACCCCCUGCACUGCUGUUAGACCCUCCACACUUCAACCCCUGCACUGCUCUAAGACCCUCCACACUUCAACCCCUGCACUGCUCUUAGACCCUCCACACUUCACCCCCUGCACUGCUCUUAGACCCUCCACACUUCACCCCCUGCACUGCUCUUAAACCCUCCACACUUCACCCCCUGCACUGCUCUUAGACCCUCUACACUUCAACCCCUGCAUUGCUCUUAGACCCUCCACACUUCACCCCUUCACUGCUCUUAGACCCUCCACACUUCACCCCCUGCACUGCUCUUAGACCCUCCACACUUCACCCCUUCACUGCUCUUAGACCCUCCACACUUCAUCCCCUGCACUGCUCUUAGACCCUCUACACUUCAACCCCUGCAUUGCUCUUAGACCCUCCACACUUCACCCCUUCACUGCUCUUAGACCCUCCACACUUCACCCCCUGCACUGCUCUUAGACCCUCCACACUUCACCCCCUGCACUGCUGUUAGACCCUCCACACUUCAUGCCCUGCACUGCUCUUAGACCCUUCUACACUUCAUCCCCUGCACUGCUCUUAGACCCUCCACAUUUCAACCCCUGCACUGCUCUUACACAAUCCACACUUCACCCCCUGCACUGCUCUUAGAACCUCCACACUUCAACUCCUGUACUGCUCUUAGACCCUCCACACUUCACCCCCUGCACUGCUCUUAGACCCUCCACACUUCACCCCCUGCACUGCUCUUAGACCCUCCACACUUCACCCCCUGCACUGCUCUUAGACCCUCCACACUUCACCCCCUUCACUGCUCUUAGACCCUCCACACUUCACCCCCUGCACUGCUCUUAGACCCUCCACACUUCACCCCCUGCACUGCUCUUAGACCCUCCACACUUCACCCCCUGCACUGCUCUUAGACCCUUCACACUUCACCCCCUGCACUGCUCUUAGACCCUCCACACUUCACCCCAUGCACUGCUCUUACACGAUCCACACUUCACCAUCCGGUCAAAACACGUAUUCUCUUCCUCCCUCUAUUUACCUCU